rnacentral:rRNA from 1 species
GGUCAAGCAUUAAGGGCACAGGGCGGAUGCCUUGGCACUAAGAGCCGAUGAAAGACGUGAUAAGCUGCGAAAAGCUUCGGGGAGGAGCAAAUAUCCAUCGAUCCGGAGAUCUCUGAAUGGGGAAACCCACAUGAGCAACCCUCAUGUAUCCAUACGCCAAUCCAUAACGUAUGGAGGGGAACCCGGGGAACUGAAACAUCUAAGUACCCGGAGGAAAAGAAAGAAAACUCGAUUCCCAAAGUAGCGGCGAGCGAAAUGGGAAGAGCCUAAACCAGUGUGCGUGCACACUGGGGUUACGGACUGCAUUUAAGAUUCUCCAAGGCUAACAGAACGGUUUUGGGAAAGCCGGCCAGAGAGGGUGAAAGCCCCGUACGUGAAAGCCGAGGAGACUGAGCAGGAUCCAGAGUACCGCGAGACACGUGGAACCUUGCGGGAAAUCAGGGGGACCACCCCCUAAGGCUAAAUACUACUUAGUGACCGAUAGCGCAUAGUACUGUGAAGGAAAGGUGAAAAGGACCCCGGGAGGGGAGUGAAAGAGAACCUGAAACCCAGUGCCUACAAGCUGUGGGAGCACCUUAUGAGUGUGACCGCGUACUUUUUGUAGAACGGUCCGGCGAGUUACGCUCACUGGCAAGGUUAAGUCCUUCAGGGACGGAGCCGUAGGGAAACCAAGUCUUAAUAGGGCCAGAGUCAGUGGGAGUAGACCCGAAACCGGGUGAUCUAUCCAUGUCCAGGUUGAAGCUGCCGUAAGAGGCAGUGGAGGACCGAACCCACAUCCGUUGAAAAGGGUGGGGAUGAGGUGUGGAUAGGGGAGAAAUUCCAAUCGAACCCGGAGAUAGCUGGUUCUCCUCGAAAUAGCUUUAGGGCUAGCCUCGAUCGAGAUUUGCGGAGGUAGAGCACUGAAUUUCCUAGGGGGCGUCAAAGCCUACCGAAGAAUAUCAAACUCCGAAUGCCGUGUAAUCGCUGAUCGGGAGUCAGACUGUACGAGAUAAGUUGGACAGUCGAAAGGGAAAGAGCCCAGACCUCCAGCUAAGGUCCCAAAGUGCGCGUUAAGUGGAAAAGGAUGUGGGAUUUCAAAGACAACCAGGAUGUUGGCUCAGAAGCAGCCAUCCAUUCAAAGAGUGCGUAAUAGCUCACUGGUCGAGAGGUCCUGCGCCGAAAAUGUCCGGGGCUGAAACGCGCCACCGAAGCUGAGGAACCGAAAGGUUGGUAGAGGAGCAUUGCAUACGAGAAGAAGCUGUACCGGAAGGAGCAGUGGAUCGUAUGGAAGAGAGAAUGCCGGAAUGAGUAGCGAGAUAGAGGUGGGAAUCCUCUAGGCCGAAUAUCCAAGGUUUCCAGGGUAAAGCUGAUCUGCCCUGGGUAAGUCGGGGCCUAAGGCGAGGACGAGAGUCGUAGCCGAUGGACAACAGGUGGAGAUUCCUGUACUGCGGUAUGACAGAACUGUGGGGACACGUAAGGAAAGCGGAAGCCGGGAACGGAAAGCCCGGUGCAAGCAGGGUACCAGGUGCAUAGGCAAAUCCGUGCAUCAAUGGGAAUCUGUGAUGCGGAGCGAAAUAAAGUAGCGAAGUCCGUGAGCCAUGCGUCAAGAAAAGCCGCUAUUGUUUAUACCGUACCCGUACCGUAAACCGACACAGGUGGAUGAGGAGAGAAUCCUAAGGCCGACGGAAGAAGCAUUGUCAAGGAACUCGGCAAAAUGACCCCGUAACUUCGGGAGAAGGGGUGCCUAUGAGAAUAGGCCGCAGAGAAUAGGCUCAAGCAACUGUUUAGCAAAAACACAGGUCUAUGCGAAACCGAAAGGUGAGGUAUAUGGGCUGACGCCUGCCCGGUGCUGGAAGGUUAAGAGGAGAGGUUAGCGCAAGCGAAGCUUUGAAUUUAAGCCCCAGUAAACGGCGGCCGUAACUAUAACGGUCCUAAGGUAGCGAAAUUCCUUGUCGGGUAAGUUCCGACCCGCACGAAAGGCGUAAUGAUUUGAGCGCUGUCUCGACAAUGCAUCCGGUGAAAUUGAAGUACCAGUGAAGAUGCUGGUUACCUGCGCCAGGACGGAAAGACCCCAUGGAGCUUUACUCCAGCUUGAUACUGGGACUCGGUAUUGCAUGUACAGGAUAGGUGGGAGGCUAGGAUCUGGUAACGCCAGUUGCCAGGGAGCCGCUGUUGGGAUACCACCCUUGCAGUAUUGGGUUUCUAACCAGCCGCCGUGACCCGGCGGUGGGACAAUGUCAGGCGGGGAGUUUGACUGGGGCGGUCGCCUCCGAAAGGGUAUCGGAGGCGCCCAAAGGUUCCCUCAGAAUGG